AGCGACGGCGUGCCGGUCCCCAGCAUUGGGGGAGGCGCCUGGACUAGUUCUGACCGCGUAACUUGUACGAACGUGAGCGUUUCGCUGCCAGAGCCGAAGAGCCUGUCCGAUCAGCGUGUCAGCGGGGACAGUGCGGCGCGGCCGUGAGCCCUGGGUCACUAUGAUGGUGCUUUUUCUCGUGUGGUUUUGGUGCUGCUUUUCCUGACUGGCAAUGAUGAAAGGGAACCAGGCCAGCCUCCGGGCUCAGGGAAACAUAUCUGGUACCUGAAACACUGAAUAAUUCAUCCUGAGGCUGCUGCCGUCAGGUAGGCGGGUUGUUACUGUUAUCCUCAUCUUGCAGACCGCAGAACCUGAGCUGAGACAUGAUGGCUAAGUGGGGCAGAGGCAGACCUGCAGGGCAGGGGCUCGCGCGAGCGGGCUGGGAGCGUGGGUUGAGGUCCAGAAGCCGAGGCUGAUUUCCUCUGCCAUGUGCAGGAAGGGGCUGGACGCAGUCCUCGGGUUUGGGAACUACGUGGGCUCCCGGAGGCAGCCACCCCUGCCGGGAGCACCGCGCCGUAGAGCAGCGUGUGGUUUUUAGUGGGACCUAGCGCUCCGAUCCUGCGCUCUAGCUGUGCUCGAUUUAGCGCUGGAAGGGACGUGAUAUAAAGCCAUCACAUCCUUAAGCGAAAUGGCUGCUUAAGGCGUCCUGUGACGCCUGCUUUUCCGCUGUACUCGUUUCAUUAACCCUUCUUGUCCCGUGGCUGCGGUUGCCCACCGUGUGCCAUAGCCUGGGGCUGGCUCUGGUCCCUGUCCAGCACGGGAGGCUCCGUUGCGGCCCACCUGGUGAAGACACUAGUGCAAUAACGGGCUCAGAGAAGAUUCUCCUCUAAGAUUUCCAUAAAGGCAGGACCGUAAUGUUUUUCCCCUGCAAAAUCUAAAGCUGAUCUCCCCACCAGUGCAGUUCCCCUGGUGCUACCAGUUCAAAGAAGCCCGGGCUAGCACGGAUGAGUGCGCAGGUGGGUCCCCAACCACCGGGACACCCCUGCACACGGGUCUCCCACCAGCCGUGGCAUCGGUGUCCUGCUCAGCCCC